AUUGAACGCUGGCGGCAGGCCUAACACAUGCAAGUCGAGCGCGCGGCGGACGGGUGAGUACUGUCUGGGACACUGCCUGAUGGAGGGGGAUAACUACUGGAAAAGGUAGCUAAUACCGCAUACCCUCAGAUGUGCCCAGAUGGGAUUAGCGCGUAGGUGGGGUAGCGGCUCACCUAGGCGACGAUCCCUAGCUGGGCUGAGCGGAUGACCAGCCACACUGGAACUGAGACACGGCCCAGCCUCCUACGGGAGGCAGCAGUGGGGAAUAUUGCACAAUGUGCGCAAGCCUGAUGCAGCCAUGCCGCGUGUGUGAAGAAGGCCUUCGGGUUGUAAAGCACUUUCAGCGGUGAGGCGUUACCCGCAGAAGAAGCACCGGCUAACUCCGUGCCAGCAGCCGCGGUAAUUC
rnacentral:rRNA from 1 species